GCCUGGCUGGCUCAGUCGGUAGAGCAUAUGACUCUUGAUCUUGGGGCUGUGAGUUUGAGCCCCACGUUGGGCG
rnacentral:tRNA from 1 species